CGAAAGCCUGAUGCAGCAACGCCGCGUGAGUGAUGAAGGCCUUCGGGUCGUAAAACUCUGUCCUCAAGGAAGAUAAUGACGGUACUUGAGGAGGAAGCCCCGGCUAACUACGUGCCAGCAGCCGCGGGAAUACGUAGGGGGCUAGCGUUAUCCGGAUUUACUGGGCGGAAAGGGUGCGUAGGCGGUCUUUCAAGUCAGGAGUGAAAGGCUACGGCUCAACCGUAGUAAGCUCUUGAAACUGGGAGACUUGAGUGCAGGAGAGGAGAGUGGAAUUCCUAGUGUAGCGGUGAAAUGCGUAGAUAUUAGGAGGAACACCAGUUGCGAAGGCGGCUCUCUGGACUGUAACUGACGCUGAGGCACGAAAGCGUGGGGAGCAAACAGGAUUAGAUACCCUGGUAGUCCACGCUGUAAACGAUGAGUACUAGGUGUCGGGGGUUACCCCC
rnacentral:rRNA from 1 species